rnacentral:rRNA from 1 species
UACGUAGGGUGCGAGCGGUGUCCGGAAUUAUUGGGCGUAAAGAGCUCGUAGGCGGUCUGUCGCGUCUGCUGUGAAAUCCCGAGGCUCAACCUCGGGCUUGCAGUGGGUACGGGCAGGCUAGAGUGCGGUAGGGGAGAAUGGAACUCCUGGUGUAGCGGUGGAAUGCGCAGAUAUCAGGAAGAACACCGAUGGCGAAGGCAGUUCUCUGGGCCGUAACUGACGCUGAGGAGCGAAAGCGUGGGGAGCGAACAGG